rnacentral:tmRNA from 1 species
GGGGAUGAUCAGGUCUCGACGAAUUGCAUCGUGCAACAAGUUGCGUGUCGAGCCAAUCUGACUUGGGCUCGUAAAUCACGUCAGAAAACCUGUAACUGCGAACGACUAUUCGUACGCGAUGGCGGCAUAAACCCGCUAUCUGUCUUCUAUACAUGCCCUGCUCACUGGCACAAUAGAAGGCAUCGACUUUUGUGAGCGCCCUGUAUGGGAUACCGGCUGAAUGCCAUAUAGGAUAUCAACCAGCCUUUGCCAACACCCGGUUUGGGUCACAUGCCAAGGGUUCGGCGAGACAUAAGAUGUGACCUACACAUGUAGACGCUUGUGUGUUCAUCCUUUCGGACCCGGGUUCAAUUCCCGGCAUCUCCACCU